rnacentral:rRNA from 1 species
AACGUAGGAGACGAACGUUAUCCGGAGUUACUGGGCGUAAAGGGCGGUGCAGGCGGUCUGAUAAGUUCGGCGUGAAAUAUUCCGGCUUAACCGGGAUAGGUCGUCGGAGACUGUCGGACUAGAGGGUGAUAGAGGCGUGUGGAAUUCCGGGUGUAGUGGUGAAAUGCGUAGAGAUCCGGAGGAACACCAGUGGCGAAGGCGGCUCACUGGACGACUGUUGACGCUGGAGGUACGAAAGCGUGGGGAGCAAACAGG